UCGCCGCAGCCUUGAGCUCGUGCGGACGGGCAGUUUGCACGUGUUUCACGCUCGCUGGCGUUCUCCCUUGUCCGAAUUAGUGAUACCACGAGAAAGCGGUAUCCACCUACAGCAAUAAGAUUUUUCGGGCAAGUUGGUUCAUACUGAAUGAAGAGUAAACUGCACGAAACGAAGAAACGCAUACAGCGAAGCGCUGAAGCUGCGUUUCUAAAUGUCCUGUGUUUCUUCCUGUCAUCUUAACGUUUCGCGCAGUUUAGGCUCACGAGCCUGAAGAUCUGGCCAAUAUGCUUGAUUGUAGCAUGAUCUUCAUCCCCACCGAAGCUUCUCACCACGCCAAAGAAGCUCUACAAAAAGAAAGAUGAGGUCGGUCUUUCACCACACAAGCCACAAAAAAGAAAAAGAAGUCGACUUUUUCAUUCCGUGUAGAUGGUUAAUCAGCGAAGUUGAAACGUGCGGCCCCUGUGUUUAUCACUGGGUUAAUCCCGAGGGUUCAAUAAAGUAUUUCUCAAUUAUGAGGGUACACAAACAAUUGGCUGGGACGGAGAGAACAACAUCACUGACGGUAUGUCCGCAAUCCGCAGUUGUCGCUUGCGUUCGAUGUCUCGAGUUUGCUCGGCGGCGUGGUUAGCAGCCUUCGCCCGCGAUUUGCCGCUUGUGAUUCUUCGAAAUUAAAUUUCUUCAAAAUUAAAUCUGUCCGUUACGUAAGACAAUGAGUGGCUCAUACUCCCUUAAGCAAUGGCUCAUACCCCGUAAACGCGGCCUCCACAUUACGGUGACAGAAGUGAAGUGAAAUUCUACGCUGGAAUGAUGAACGGCAACGCAACUAGCUGUGGAAGACGACGACGAACGCGCGCGCCGUGGAUAUCGCAGAGAGUUCCCGGUCGGCACGAGGAAUCGCUCUGUUUCACGCCAAGCGAAGCGUCGCAUUGCUGGGAGCACAGAAAAAGUGGUGCGCCGAAUUGUCGACAUCGUUCAUGUUCAGCCGCUUAUGCAGCCAGGUACGCAGCACGUCAUCAUCGUCUGCUGAUAUUCUUAAGAAACUCGGCGAAGGCUACAGUUUCACGGAUGACAUGCUUGCUGAAAUUCGCCGUCAACAACGAACCACAGAAUACACCAACGCUGCACCGCGCUAGUGAGGAAGUGAAGCUGGGCGCGACUGCAGCGCCACGAAGGCGCGGGUGGGUGGCGGUUCCGCGCAACGGCGCCGAGUUUUAAAACUGAAGCUAGUCUAGUAACGUUGGUUCUGGCGGCACCGUCGCCUUCAAAGAAUGUCUCCACCCUGAACGGAGCGGCGGGCGAGGAGGACAUCGAGGCACCCUAGCGGUACAGUGUACUAGAAUAGGCAGUGGAACGACCGCGCUCCUUGGGCGACUAUCCAUGAGAAACUAUGCGACUAUCGCGGCGGCGAAAGAGAAGCGUAUCCCCGCAGGCUGGCUGUACCCGGUUUGGAGGCAAACCGGAUGUGACGUGUGCCAGUGGCGUACUCCCUGCCCCCAGAUAGGUACUUGUACGCCUAGGGAAAGACGCUGCUAGGUGCUGCUGCUAAAUCCCUGUGGUUUCUGCCAGCCACAUGCGGCCAUUGCCGGCUCACGUAGGUUCGUUCGCGUGGUCUUGUUACGCCUCGCUGGAUCGUGUUCAGUCAUGCCGUCCUUGCGCGGCGUGAUUGUCGGUGAGUCAGGUUAAAUUCUUAAAUAGGUCGCGCCUGCGCCUAAUUGAGUCUAUAAAAGCCUGCACAUUCAGUUUUGCUAGCUACAAUGCAGUGCGGCUGGCGUGAGCUGUCUCCACGAUGCGCUUCAAGCGUGUCGAUUUCGCCGUUCUUUAUGUUGGCGUUAACGACCUUGAAAGCAACAUGGAUCCACAAGGAAUGUGCGACAACAUCAAGGUAAGUCUACUGAAAUCACAAAAUUUGAAACAAUAAGCGCUAAUAGUUGUGUUUUCUUUUAAAUUUUAGGCCUUGAUUGUUCAACGAGACGGCCCCCGUCGUGCUGGUUUUCAAGGUGCUCCCUCGCUGCCUAGAAGAUGCUGAUGCGGAAUAGAAAAUGCAAAAACGUCGCUUGCUCAAACGCAAAUUGACGGCUACGCUGAAGCGCAUGCCGUGUCUGCGGAAUUUGAACCCCGAGCUUUCCAGAGUUCCUUGGAAAAUCCUCCCAUGCACCUGCCAUGUACAUUGCCCUCCUCCUCGAUGUGGCGUGCAAGAUGGCAGCAGCAGCUGUGGGAACAGUUGAAGAGGCGAAGAAAGGUCCACUUUAUAAUAGGUUGUAUGUAAAUAAAACUGAUCGACCUCAA